GCGGGUGUAGUUCAAUGGUAGAAAGCAGCCUUCCAGCUGACUACGCGGGUUCGAUCCCCAUCACCCGCUCCA
rnacentral:tRNA from 1 species